GCCUGGCUGGCUCAGUUAGUAGAGCAUGGGACUCUUGAUCUUGGGGUUGUGAGUUCAAGCCCUCACAUUAGGUG
rnacentral:tRNA from 1 species